UGCAGUUCUUGAACAACAAGCACGGGAAACCUGUAACUGUCAAGCUUUAAUUUGGUGAUGCUGUGUAUUGUUGAGUGGGUGGAAGGAAAAUUUACCUGUAAGUCAGGUUAAGUAUAUCUGAGAAACAAUUCAUACCCAUUCAAAAGGUCAGCUUCAUAUCUUACCCCAAAGUCUUUCAGAAAAGGAAACCCACUGCAUUCAUUUCAUUUUUCUGAAGAAAACCUAAUUUUGCACAUCUGACUCUACGUUUGUUUUUGCCGAGUACAGACUUAUGCAAGCACAUUUUCCAUUCUCUUCACCACUAAUGAGAAAAAUUAUAACCUCAUAAGCUCUCCCUGUAUUAUAGCAAUAACAAAACACUGCCAAAUAUAGCCUUGUCUAACUAUUAUGAAUAUCUUUAUACUUGGAGACCACAGCCGCAAUAGCUAGCACUAUAAUUAGCUAUCUAAUCCAUCUGGCUGGGGAAAAUAUACUAUUAUUUAUGAGUGCUAUUCUUGCACUGAAUAUCCCGUAGAUGACUAAUUGCUGAUUUAAAAAUUCGGAACCACGAAUCUAGAGUAUCUAUAAUGGUGUACAAUGUUUUCUAGUUAUUCAUCAAGAAGUAAAGGGGCAUUUAUUGCAUGUCUCCAACAUACCUGAAGGUUAAUGUUAAGGGUUUUAUGCAGACCAUGUUCAUACAUUUACAAAUUGGGCCCAUGAAUUUAAGUCUUAGUAAUUCAGCAUAUUAAACUCCAGUCACAUCUUCUCCCUUAAAAGGCACUAUUUUACAAGUAUAAUAUAAAUGUAUUCAUUGACUCAUAAUUAUUUACAUGACCUCCAAAACAAGGUGAGUCUUGUGUGUAGUGUGGGUAUUUUGUUGAGGCGCUGACAUGAUUUUCUUUUUCUCCCUUCUCAUUUAUUACAGUGUUUUAGUGUGAACGUUUGAUCCUUACAGAGAUUUUAAUCCACCUGCCUUCUUAGGCCUCCAGUAGGCAGCCUGAGAUACCUGGUGGUGUCUGCUACCCAAAUCCAGCUCCGAUGCUCUAGCUGAAGAAGAAGAAUCUCCUGCAACUCCUGAGUCAUUUUGGUACUGGUGCCUGGGAAGGUGAUACCUCUCCUUCGUCCCUGGCCUCUACCCACUUGUCAGUACAAACCCCUAGUUGAGGCAACCAAAAUAUCUCCAGCCUUUGCCAAGUGCUCUUUGUGGGGCAAAACUAACUGCUCUAACUUGAAUUUAUUUUAUGUCUGAUGUCAAGCUUUUGUUAUCGUUUACUACGGACACUGAGAAUAAUUGGUCACCAUUUUCUUUUUUCUUUUUUUCUUUUUUUUUUUUUUUGAGAUGGACUCUCGCUCUGUCACCGGGCUGGAGUGCAAUGGCACAACCUUGGCUCACUGCAACCUUCGACUCCCUAGUUCAAGCGAUUCUCCUGCCUCAGCCUCCUG
rnacentral:lncRNA from 10 species